CCUACGGGUGGCAGCAGCAAGGAAUCUUCCGCAAUGGGCGCAAGCCUGACGGAGCAACGCCGCGUGCGGGAUGACGCCCUUCGGGGUGUAAACCGCUUUUCUUCCGGAAGAAUGCCUGGGGUGACUCAGGCUUGACGGUACGGGAGGAAGAAGGACCGGCUAACUACGUGCCAGCAGCCGCGGUAAUACGUAGGGUCCGAGCGUUGUCCGGAGUUACUGGGCGUAAAGCGCGCGCAGGCGGCGGUGUUGGCCCGGCGUGAAAGCCCCCGGCUCAACCGGGGAGGGUCGUCGGGGACCGCACCGCUUGAGGGCGGUAGGGGCUGGUGGAAUGCCUGGUGUAGUGGUGAAAUGCGUAGAGAUCAGGCGGAACACCCGUGGCGAAGGCGGCCAGCUGGGCCGUCCCUGACGCUGAGGCGCGAAGGCGUGGGGAGCGAACGGGA
rnacentral:rRNA from 1 species